UACGUAGGGUGCAAGCGUUGUCCGGAAUUAUUGGGCGUAAAGGGCGCGUAGGCGCCUGGCAAGUGGAAGGUGAAAUCCCUCGGCUUAACCGAGGAACUGCCCUCCAAACUGCUUGGCUUGAGUCCGGGAGAGGUGAGUGGAAUUCCCAGUGUAGCGGUGAAAUGCGUAGAUAUUGGGAGGAACACCAGUGGCGAAAGGCGGCUCACUGGACCGGAACUGACGCUGAGGCGCGAAAGCGUGGGGAGCAAACGGG
rnacentral:rRNA from 1 species